rnacentral:rRNA from 1 species
AGAGUUUGAUCAUGGCUCAGAUUGAACGCUGGCGGCAGGCCUAACACAUGCAAGUCGAGCGGAUGAGAGGAGCUUGCUCCUUGAUUCAGCGGCGGACGGGUGAGUAAUGCCUAGGAAUCUGCCUGGUAGUGGGGGAUAACGUUCCGAAAGGAACGCUAAUACCGCAUACGUCCUACGGGAGAAAGCAGGGGACCUUCGGGCCUUGCGCUAUCAGAUGAGCCUAGGUCGGAUUAGCUAGUUGGUGAGGUAAUGGCUCACCAAGGCGACGAUCCGUAACUGGUCUGAGAGGAUGAUCAGUCACACUGGAACUGAGACACGGUCCAGACUCCUACGGGAGGCAGCAGUGGGGAAUAUUGGACAAUGGGCGAAAGCCUGAUCCAGCCAUGCCGCGUGUGUGAAGAAGGUCUUCGGAUUGUAAAGCACUUUAAGUUGGGAGGAAGGGCAGUAAGUUAAUACCUUGCUGUUUUGACGUUACCAACAGAAUAAGCACCGGCUAACUUCGUGCCAGCAGCCGCGGUAAU